AGAUUGAACGCUGGCGGCAUGCCUUACACAUGCAAGUCGAACGGUAACAGGGAGCUUGCUCCGCUGACGAGUGGCGAACGGGUGAGUAAUACAUCGGAACGUGCCCAGUAAUGGGGGAUAGCUCGGCGAAAGCCGGAUUAAUACCGCAUACGCCCUGAGGGA
rnacentral:rRNA from 1 species